GACGAACGCUGGCGGCGUGCCUAAUACAUGCAAGUCGAACGCUGAAGGAGGAGCUUGCUUCUCUGGAUGAGUUGCGAACGGGUGAGUAACGCGUAGGUAACCUGCCUGGUAGCGGGGGAUAACUAUUGGAAACGAUAGCUAAUACCGCAUAAGAGUAGAUGUUGCAUGACAUUUGCUUAAAAGGUGCAAUUGCAUCACUACCAGAUGGACCUGCGUUGUAUUAGCUAGUUGGUGGGGUAACGGCUCACCAAGGCGACGAUACAUAGCCGACCUGAGAGGGUGAUCGGCCACACUGGGACUGAGACACGGCCCAGACUCCUACGGGAGGCAGCAGUAGGGAAUCUUCGGCAAUGUACGGAAGUCUGACCGAGCAACGCCGCGUGAGUGAAGAAGGUUUUCGGAUCGUAAAGCUCUGUUGUAAGAGAAGAACGAGUGUGAGAGUGGAAAGUUCACACUGUGACGGUAUCUUACCAGAAAGGGACGGCUAACUACGUG
rnacentral:rRNA from 1 species